CUACGUGCCAGCAGCCGCGGUAAUACGUAGGGUGCGAGCGUUAAUCGGAAUUACUGGGCGUAAAGCGGGCGCAGACGGUUACUUAAGCAGGAUGUGAAAUCCCCGGGCUCAACCUGGGAACUGCGUUCUGAACUGGGUGACUAGAGUGUGUCAGAGGGAGGUAGAAUUCCACGUGUAGCAGUGAAAUGCGUAGAGAUGUGGAGGAAUACCGAUGGCGAAGGCGGCCUCCUGGGAUAACACUGACGUUCAUGCCCGAAAGCGUGGGUAGCAAACAGGAUUAGAUACCCUGGUAGUCCACGCCCUAAACGAUGUCGAUUAGCUGUUGGGCAGCAUGACUGCUUAGUAGCGAAGCUAACGCGUGAAAUCGACCGCCUGGGGAGUACGGUCGCAAGAUUAAAACUCAAAGGAAUUGACGGGGACCCGCACAAGCGGUGGAUGAUGUGGAUUAAUUCGAUGCAACGCGAAGAACCUUACCUGGUCUUGACAU
rnacentral:rRNA from 1 species